AACUCACUUAGAGUAAUGUCUAAGUAUCAUUAAGUGAAUACAUAGCUUAAUGAGGGGAACUCAGGGAACUGAAACAUCUAAGUACCUGAAGGAAGAGAAAGAAAUUCGAUUCCGUAAGUAGCGGCGAGCGAACGCGGAUUAGCCCAAACCAAUAAAGUUUUCUUUAUUGGGGUUGCGGACAUAUCAUAACGAAGAGGUAUCGUAAUUGAAGAGGUUUGGAAAGACCCACCACAGAAGGUAAUAGUCCUGUAUGUUAAACGAGAAGACUUUAGAUAUGAUCCAGAGUACCACGGGACACGUGAAACCCUGUGGGAAGCAGGAGGGACCACCCUCCAAGGCUAAAUACUACCUAGUGACCGAUAGCGUAUAGUACCGUGAGGGAAAGGUGAAAAGAACCCCGGGAGGGGAGUGAAAUAGAACCUGAAACCCUGCACUUACAAGCUGUGGAAGCACAUUUCUUGUGUGACCGCGUACUUUUUGUAGAACGGGCCAACGAGUUACGUUAAGUAGCAAGGUUAAGCACUUAAGGUGUGGAGCCGUAGCGAAAGCGAGUUUAACUGAGCGUUCAGUUACUUGACGUAGACCCGAAACCGGGCGACCUACCCAUGAGCAGGAUGAAGCGAAAGUAAAAUUUCGUGGAGGUCCGAACCCACGAGCGUUGAAAAGCUCGGGGAUGACUUGUGGGUAGCGGUGAAAUUCCAAUCGAGCCCGGAGAUAGCUGGUUCUCCCCGAAAUAGCUUUAGGGCUAGCCUCAAGGUGAGAGAUACGGAGGUAGAGCACUGAAUGU
rnacentral:rRNA from 1 species